UCUCCGUAGGUGAACCUGCGGAGGGAUCAUUAACACGUUCCAAACCAACUUAUCAACCCAACCGUGAACUCUUUGUCUCCGCCUGCUGUCACUGCCGGCGCUUACGGUGCGCGCUGAGACCCUGGAUGAAGGUGAAGGGAAGUUGGCUGCCCUCUCUCGAGAGGUGCGGUCCUCCUUUCAUACGGGUCGAGCUGCGCUUUCAUGGCCUCCCCGUGAGGUCAGCCGUCCCGGUGGUGGCGAGGCCCAACACAUAUACGGGUGGCGAUGGGUCAUCCAUCGUCGCACGCAUAUCCACACGACCCUUGUUGGCGCUGGGAUCACCUCGUGUGCCCCUCGCUCAGCAUUGAACAUUCUAUCAUUGAUUUCACUGUGCUGCGCCCCACGGCGUGCACGGGUACUGGCCCUUCUUAGCGAAGGAGUCUCAGUUCACAAAACAUGAUACAACUCUUAGCAAUGGAUAUCUUGGUUCUC
rnacentral:misc_RNA from 1 species